UCUAGUCCUGUCCGGCCCCCCUCCCCCCAGCUGGGAAAUGGGAUUGCCUUUGCUGCGAGCCUCUGGCUCAAAAGAUGGCGUUUAUGCAGAAGAAGCCUUUGUACUUCAAAAACUGUAACUAGAAGCCCAAGGGGAGCACAAAACACUCAAAGAUUGGAGCCACCAAAGUAGGGAAUGUGGUGGGGCGAGCUGACAAGAAAUGAUUUAAAGGACACACCUCAAGCUCACUUUAGAAACCAAGGUCUCCCUCCAACAAAACAUAGCUCUGUGUAGCUCGGGAUGGAGGCCCAAGACUCUGGGGGCCACCGGGCUGCACUCCCCCAGCCCCUGCAGGGAGAGAAGCCCUCCCUCCCAUGGCCUUAGACCUGACAAAGUCUUACACAAGUGCCAGAGGCUAACCAGGAAGAAAAAAGCAACCUUGUCUAAGUCAAGGGAAAAAAAUGAGAGAGAGAAAAAGGCUCACAAGUCAACACACUCAUUACAAGAAAAUGUCAAACACGCCCCACUUGUUUCUGACCCUCACACAUUUACAUACAGUCCAUAUUUCUUUAAGUUUAAAAAAAUGAAGGAUAAGGCUUGGAGAUCUUCUAUAUUACACAGAAGUUUGGAAUUUGGAAGGUCUGUUUCUUGGGUUUUUCUUUUGCUUUGGUGCAGUAAUAUUUGUUUUACAGAAAUCUGACAGGCAGAAACAGAAUGUCUUUUAGAAUCCCUAUCCCCAAACACGUCUAGUUCGAUAAGUAGUAAAUUAUAAAGAUAUCAAUAGAUGC